rnacentral:lncRNA from 1 species
CCAGACUUUGAGAUGGAUACGACUCCAACUCUUCUUAUAAAUAAAGGAGCUCUGAAAUCCUCAAAGUAAGCUCUCGACUCUCGACUCUCUUCUCUCAUUAUUUUCAUCUCCUAACUUGAGCGUUGGAGGGUCUUCAUCGGAGAACACUCUGGUGAGGACUUCUUUGUACGCAUUCAAGUGGAGCUCCAGUAGCAGUUCCACCUCGGUUAUAUCCAUCUCAGCGGUCGACCUCAGGCG